rnacentral:lncRNA from 1 species
GGAUUUCCCAUUUGCUGCAAUAUUGAUUUUUUAAUUUUAGUAUCUACCUCUUGUACUACACCUGUAUCUACCUCUUGUGCUACACCUGUAUCUACCUCUUGUGCUACACCUGGUAAGUUAAACAACUAUUAGUUUUUAAUGUGCAAACUUUAUAAUAUGUUUAACUUUAGUUCCUUAGUCAUCUUUUGCAACU